AACAAGUGGAGUGGAUCUAGGCCAAUUAAUUCAAAAUUUCAAGAGGUUGCGCAUCUUGGAUCUACAUGACACAAAGGUCGAGAAGGUGCCAAGGUCCAUUUGUGAGUUGAAGUAUCUCACAUAUCUCGAUCUCUCUUACAACAACACACUCAGAAGGGUUCCUAACUCCAUUACGAAAUUGCAGAGCUUGCAAACACUUGAUCUCUACUACUGUGAUGCCCUCGAAGAGUUGCCAAGUGAUAUAAAGAAGUUAGUCUGCCUUCGGAAUCUAGACAUACGUUUUUGUUCGAAACUUGGUUAUUUGCCACGUGGAAUAGGGGAAUUGAGUUCUUUGCAUAGGCUAACGAACUUCAUUUUGCCCAAAGAUAAAGCUCGUGCUAAGAAUUAUUGCGGACUUGGGGAGCUAAAGGGGCUUAAUAACAUCCGGGGAGAACUUUCAAUUGAAAAUUUGGGAUACGUAACAAAUGCGGAAGUCCAAUGCGAGGAUGAGAUAUUGAUGGGGAAGCAUUCUCUGGAAUCUUUGGUACUUAGUUGGGGCGAUUUCAAUAUUGAUGAUGUAGCAAUAAAUGCAGCGCUGUUUGAUAGAUUGAAGCCGCCCUCAAAUCUGCAUAGGUUGGGGAUCUGGGGAUAUAAAGGUGAGAGCUUUCCCAGGUGGAUGAUGGAUAGUCAUAGCCUUGUAUCUUUCUUGCCACAUUUAGUUGAUGUAUCGUUCGGUGCUUGCAAAAGAUGUGAACAUCUCCCCCCACUGGACCAACUACCUUGCCUCAAGUCUUUGCAUAUCCAUCAUAUGCCUGAAUUGGAAUAUAUCGAGUCGGACCAAUCAUCCCCUUCAACAGCAUCAUUUCCUAGUCUAUUGAAAUUGGAUAUCAUUGGCUGUGAAAAAUUAAAAGCCAUGCCACUAACUCCUCAUCUUGAGGAGUUAGUUCUGAAUGGUGCCAACGGAGCGUUGUUGAUAAAUCAGAUGAUGCUUGGCCUUAAUAAGUUGAAGAGACUGGAGAUCAUAUAUGCAAAGUUUCCAGAAUGUUUGCCUGAGGAGGGUUUCCAAAGUCUCACUUCCCUUGAAUCUCUUUUGAUCAAGAAUUGUCCUCAGUUGACUUCCCUCUCGCAAGGUAUGCGACAUCUAUCGAGCCUCGUGGAUCUCUAUAUCUCGGGAGAUGAGCUGGAUAUAUGCAAAGCCGAAAGCGGCAACGUCUUGGAUUUCCAUGGAGGCCUUCAGAAUCUCCGCUCCGUGAGAAUCUUUGAGCUUCCCAAACUGACAUCUCUCCCAUAGUGGCUUCUACAGGCCUGCAAUCUCGAGCGUCUCCUAAUUUGGGUGUGCCCCAAUUUGAAGGAUAUACCAGAGCAGAUCGAGGCCCUUCAAUCACUUCAAACUCUCCACAUCAUGGGGUGCAGCUCGUUGACAUCAUUCCCUGAAGCAAUGCGAAGGCUCACAUCCCUUACUGACCUAUGCAUCCUCUUUUGCGGAGAAUUGGAGGAGAGUUGAAAAAGACGAUCAAGCGAGGACUGGGACAAGAUCGCUCAUAUCCCGAACAUACAAUUUAAAUCCUAAUUUUCUUCACUAAAGGGAAGGUGAUCUUUAGCAUUUGACCACAAUCGACGCUCUCGAUUUGCUGUUCAGCCAUUCUGCAAGGGUUCUCAGGCUAGACAAAAAUGGUAUGAAUUUUGGCACUGAGGACACAAUGCCAAAUGAGGAUCACAAAGAACUCACUGACCACCAGUUAGAUCAUCUGAUAUGGAUGCGGUUGAGGCGCUCAUUCAAGGUCUGGUCUUGUUCCAAGGAAGAUGUCUGAUGGUUAGUCACAAUGAGCAUCCAAUAUCUGGAAGCAUGGACGAGCUCUGGGUGGUUUCUCAAGGCAAGCUGGCGCCUUUCCAUGGGAAUUUCCAGGAUCAUAAGAAGAUACUUCAGUCCUCGUUGAAUCAGGCAAGUUUAGUUCGUCAUCAGCCAAGAGUGGUUCAAUGGGAUCACAUCACAUUACCUUACAAAACAUAAAAUGAGGCUUUGUUACGGAGAGAGCGAAAAAGGAUGAAGAGAGGAUUGCUGCUGAUAUAUAGGAUGUACUCACGAUUGUUUGCGGUUGUCGAUAAUAUCUUCUGCUUGUUCCAAGGACACAUAGACAAUGUUGCUCUUCUUAAGCAGCAAUAUGGAUGGAACAAAACUGCUAAUGUGGUCGUCAUCAUCAUAGAAGCUUAUAGGACUCUGGGGAUCGGAGGCCUUACCCUGCUGAUCAAGUUGUGAGAGACAUCAGCAGGAAGCUUGGUUUUGUGCUCUUCGACAGCUGUUCUAAAACCGCUUUUCUGGCCUCCAAGAUGUUGAUGGAAGUGUUCCUUUCUUCUGGGGACUUGAUUCUGGAGGCAGUCUUGUUCUCUUGGAUAAUGCAGAAGUCGUGAAGAUGGGCUUUGGGAAAUCUUUCGCACCAUUCCCUAAAGGUAAUUAUUUUUUGGGUUUGUUGAUGUGGCUCCACUGGGGUUCAGUCCAUGCAUUGCAAUAUGAAAAGUAAGGAUGGAUGAGCUCUGCUGAUAUUAAGCAGAGUACAGAGGAGAAUGUUAUGUUGUUGGGUAACAGCAUUUUGGAAAAAUUGGUUUUGAACAUAAAUUUAUAAUCUAAGGUUAAAAUGGUGUUCUUUACCUAUAUCCAUGUAUUGAAAUGUGCCUUUUCACGUACAAUGUUGCUCUUCCAAUGAUUUUUGAGUGCCAAAUCGUUCACCCGUUAACGUUGCCUUCUUUUCCA